AAUCGAACCAAGUUAAUUGUCAGCUUGAUCACAGCUAUUGGUUUAGUAUCUUGGGUGCCAUGGUGUUUGGUUUGCACAGAUUGCGAGCUAACCAAAAGGCAUAUUAAUCGCUACGAACAAUUUCAGUAUCACAAACAAACUCAGGGAAGGGGGCGGAUUUGGUCCAGUUUACAAGGGUCUACAAGAAGGGAAGGAAAUAGCAGUAAAGACUAUCCAGUAGCUCAGGGCAAGGCAUAGAAGAAGUUGAAGAAUGAGAUUCUGUUGAUCUCCAAGCUCCGACAUAAAAAUCUUGCUUGGAUCAUGGGCUGUUGCGUCAAAGAAGAUGAGAAGUUACUGAUUUAUGAGUUCAUGCCAAACAGAAGCUUGGACACUCAUCUAUUUGAUCCAGCAAGGAGACCUGAGCUUGAUUGGGGCAGACGCUUCAAUAUUAUUCAGGGUAUUGCUAGAGGGCUUCUUUAUCUCCACCAUGAUUCGUAUUUGAAGGUAUUAUACAUAGAGAGUUCAGUAACAUUCUCUUGGAUGAGAACAUGAACCCCAAAAUUUCAGAUUUUGGAUUGGCACGUAUCGUUCAAGGGACACAGCAUCUAACAAAUACUCAGAAGGUUGUGG